UCAUAUAUUCUGAAGGUUCGAGUCUUUGUCCAUGGCUCCCUUCUUCAACUCCUUCAAUGAUCUGUGUUGCUCCCAGAUCCUGACUUUGUUUGCAAAUUGAGGUGGAGAAGCUUCAUUCUGCAAUCCUUGUUGUGCUAUCUGUGAAACAGGUUCUGCUUUAUCAGGUACCAAUGAAUAAGGGCUCCUUUUGUCAUCUGAAGCUAAUGUAGGCCAAUCAAUUAUUGACGAUGGUCGAGUCCUCAACAUCUCUUCAGCUGCCUUAGAUCUCACUUUUCGUACUUCCUCCAGGAUAUUCCAAGAACCAGUGGCGGAGGAAUUCCUAAACAGCUUGGAUGAAGGCAUAGAACUGCCACCAAAUAAAUUUGGUGUUUCUUCCUUAAAAAGCUGUAUCCCC
rnacentral:misc_RNA from 1 species